UACGGAGGGUGCGAGCGUUGUCCGGAAUUAUUGGGCGUAAAGAGCGCGUAGGCGGCUUGUCGCGUCGGAUGUGAAAGCCCGGGGCUUAACUCCGGGUCUGCAUUCGAUACGGGCAGGCUAGAGUUCGGUAGGGGAGAUCGGAAUUCCUGGUGUAGCGGUGAAAUGCGCAGAUAUCAGGAGGAACACCGGUGGCGAAGGCGGAUCUCUGGGCCGAUACUGACGCUGAGGAGCGAAAGCGUGGGGAGCGAACAGG
rnacentral:rRNA from 1 species